GAUGAACGCUAGCUACAGGCUUAACACAUGCAAGUCGAGGGGAAACGACAUCGAAAGCUUGCUUUUGAUGGGCGUCGACCGGCGCACGGGUGAGUAACGCGUAUCCAACCUGCCCACCACUUGGGGAUAACCUUGCGAAAGUAAGACUAAUACCCGAUGAUAUCCCUAGAAGACAUCUGAAAGGGAUUAAAGAUUUAUCGGUGAUGGAUGGGGAUGCGUCCGAUUAGCUUGUUGGCGGGGUAACGGCCCACCAAGGCGACGAUCAGUAGGGGGUUCUGAGAGGAAGGUCCCCCACAUUGGAACUGAGACACGGUCCAAACUCCUACGGGAGGCAGCAGUGAGGAAUAUUGGUCAAUGGGCGAGAGCCUGAACCAGCCAAGUAGCGUGCAGGACGACGGCCCUAUGGGUUGUAAACUGCUUUUAUAAGGGAAUAAAGUGAGUCUCGUGAGACUUUUUGCAUGUACCUUAUGAAUAAGGACCGGCUAAUUCCGUG
rnacentral:rRNA from 1 species